CGGCUGCUGCGCGGUUCGAGCAAGGUCGCUGAAGUCCCCGGGCCCAAUGCUCAUCUCCAGGGAACUGCCUCUGUCGAGGUCGAGGCUUCGUUACGCGGUGCCCACCUGCGUAAGCAGGGCCAGAGAGGACGAGCAUAUGACCGACGGCCGAGGCGGCAGCGCC
rnacentral:other from 1 species